ACUCCUGCGGGAGGCAGCAGUGGGGAAUUUUGGACAAUGGGCGAAAGCCUGAUCCAGCCAUGCCGCGUGCAGGAUGAAGGCCUUCGGGUUGUAAACUGCUUUUGUACGGAACGAAACGGCCUUUUCUAAUAAAGAGGGCUAAUGACGGUACCGUAAGAAUAAGCACCGGCUAACUACGUGCCAGCAGCCGCGGUAAUACGUAGGGUGCAAGCGUUAAUCGGAAUUACUGGGCGUAAAGCGUGCGCAGGCGGUUAUGUAAGACAGUUGUGAAAUCCCCGGGCUCAACCUGGGAAAUGCAUCUGUGACUGCAUAGCUAGAGUACGGUAGAGGGGGAUGGAAUUCCGCGUGUAGCAGUGAAAUGCGUAGAUAUGCGGAGGAACACCGAUGGCGAAGGCAAUCCCCUGGACCUGUACUGACGCUCAUGCACGAAAGCGUGGGGAGCAAACAGGAUUAGAUACCCGAGUAGUCCCAUGA
rnacentral:rRNA from 1 species